rnacentral:rRNA from 1 species
AACGAACGCUGGCGGCAGGCUUAACACAUGCAAGUCGAACGCGUGUAGCAAUACACGAGUGGCGCACGGGUGAGUAACGCGUGGAUAUCUGCCUUUUGGUUCGGAAUAACCCCGGGAACUGGGGCUAAUACCGGAUGGUUCCUUCGGGAUAAAGAUUUAUCGCCAAAAGAUGAGUCCGCGUACGAUUAGCUAGUUGGUGAGGUAAUGGCUCACCAAGGCGACGAUCGUUAGCUGGUCUGAGAGGACGAUCAGCCACACUGGGACUGAGACACGGCCCAGACUCCUACGGGAGGCAGCAGUGGGGAAUAUUGGACAAUGGGGGCAACCCUGAUCCAGCCAUGCCGCGUGAGUGAUGAAGGCCUUCGGGUUGUAAAGCUCUUUUGGCGGGACGAUGAUGACGGUACCCGCAGAUAAGCCCCGGCUAAC